UACGUAGGGUGCAGGCGUUAAUCGGAAUUACUGGGCGUAAAGCGUGCGCAGGCGGUUUCUUAAGUCAGAUGUGAAAGCCCCGGGCUUAACCUGGGAACUGCGUUUGAAACUGGGGAGCUAGAGUGUAGAAGAGGGGGGUGGAAUUCCAGGUGUAGCAGUGAAAUGCGUAGAUAUCUGGAGGAACACCGAUGGCGAAGGCAGCCCCCUGGGCUAACACUGACGCUCAUGCACGAAAGCGUGGGGAGCAAACAGG
rnacentral:rRNA from 1 species